rnacentral:lncRNA from 1 species
GUACGACACAGGAAAACGUCAGAGACUAAGCAAAUUUGAAUAGACCUCUGAGUAAAUAUUUCCCUUUUGGAGUUUUCAGGACUUUCUGUCCCGCUGUUUUAUGGGGAAGGCGGGGGAAGACACGCAGACAUCAAUUCGACUAAACAAAGUUUAUCAAUAAUAUUAAAAAUAAAAAGUAAAGCCCCUUUCUGAACAUUAUGGCUUAUUCCUUGAUUAUCCUUCUUAAUGCCACAGCGUGGCUAUCUCAGAACAAAAUUAGAGACUAACAGUAAAUUUACUUUAAUUUUUACGAAUAAUUCUCUAUCAAUGUAAAAAUUUUUCAUAUACGCGUGUAUGAAAGAAAAACACUACUAUUUUUCCACAUUCGUGAAAACUGCUUAACUGGGACAGUAACCGAGCGGCCAGUGAAUAUUUAAAAUACUGUAACCGACGAAUACGUAUGCUUCUAGGACCACGUGGAAUCUUUCCCAUGAGACAGGAUUUCACCAUGUUGCCCAGGCUGGUCUCAAAACUUCUGAAUUCAAGCAGUCCGCCCGCCUCUGCCUCCCAAACUGUUGAGAUUACAGGCGUGAGCCACCGCACCCAGCCUCAAGAAUGUCUUAAAUAAUGUAUGUACUAUUUUAUCAGUUUACACCCUCACUAGCAUUGAUGAGUUCUCUUUGUUCCACAUUCUCUCCAACACAAGAUAUGGUCAGACUCUUACCAUUUUUACCGCUGUGAAAAUUGCAAUUUACAUUUCCCUAACAAAGUGGUGCAUUCUUCCAUACUUAUGAAACCUUAUUUCCUCUUCUGUGAACUGUCCACUCUUACCUUUUAUAAAGUUUGCUAUGGAGUUUUCUUUCACAAAUGAUGUGUACGUCAUUAGAUAGCCUGCUCUAUUCAUUCACCUGUAUAAAGUAAAACUAAACUCCUAAGUCCGCCACCAACAGAAUAGGCCCCCUUGUGGCCAAGGGGAUCCUAGAAAACCUUAAAACUGAGUUCUAGACCACGAUGGGACAGGUUAGACACACCUUGUUAUACUCCCUCCCUUUUGUAGUUUAACACAACAACUGGCCAGCAUUAAUGUUAAAACAGAGAUGAUAAGACUGACAGAACAGACUCUGGCAAUAAGAUGCCAAAUUAUAAAAAAGACCUAAAGCCAUUCCAGGCAAGGUUUUAGUCCCACACCCCUAUACUUAAAGAAUAAACUGUGUUCUAACUGCCACAAGAUUCUUCUCUAGCAGCUAAACAAGUACUGGCCUAAAGAUAAACAAUAUUAAAAUAAUGUGCAGCUCCACGAGAUGCUGACUUACUGACCCCCAGUCCCCGUUCCACCAGCCAUAGCUACAGCUUUCAUUGGACAACUUUUUGUUGAUUUCAGUAACUUUCUCCAGGUAAGAAGACCACUGGCCAUGGACUGGUUCUGGCUGGUCUACAGAGGUCGCACAUUUGCAUGGCUUCAUGUCCUGAAAGACCUUUUGACGUAUAGGGCUCGUAAUACAUUUAAAUGUUAAGUCUUGGCUGGGUGUGGUGGCUCACGCCUGUAAUCCCAGCACUUUGGGAGGCCCAGGUGGGAAGAUCACGAGGUCAGGAGCUUGAGACCAGCCUGGCCAACAUGGGGAAACCCCAUCUCUACUAAAAAUACGAAAAUUAGCCAGGCGUGGGGGCAGGUUCCUGUAAUCCCAGCUACUCAGGAGGCUGAGGCAGGAGUAUCGCUUGAAACCGGGAAGUGGAGGUUACAGUGAGCUGAGAUCACAUCGUUGCAGUCCAGCCUGGGUGACAGAGCAAGACUCCGUCUGAACAACAACAACAAAAAAGUUAAGUCUCCAUCCCAAAGUGAAUAUGGGUCAUAUGUUACAUGAGUUUUUGUUCAAUACGCAUGUGUCAGGACCACUUUCAUGAAUAUUCAUAGCUCUUCCUGUAACCUGGUGAAAAUGUAGGUUUAGCCAACCUGUUCAGCCUGAACUACACUCCAAGCCCUCCUCCUUCAAAGCGCCUGUUUCUGGAGGCACGCUUCCCAGCCUGCAGGAUGGCCACCUUGCAGGCCAUAAAGUCUCCCCUUCUUUUCUAAAUUUAUUCAUUGUGGGGCUUUUUAAUAUAUACAUUUUUAAAAGAGAGAGAGAGACAGAGUCUCGCUUUGUUGCCCGGGCUGGUCUCAAACUCCUAGGCUCAAGCUAUCCUUCUGCCUCAGCCUCCCAAAGUGCUGGGAUUACAGGCAUGAGCCACCGCACCCAGCCCAUUGUUGGGCUUUUUUAAGUUAACGCUUGGUAUAUGUUAUAAAUACCUUCUCCCAGGUUGACACUUGUCGUCUUUGUUUACGGUGAUUUGUUCUCUAGAUUUUAAUUUCAAUGUAGUCAAAUUUAUCAAUCUGUUGUUAUGAUAGCUGACUUGUAGCUUUCUUAAGAAAUCCUUCCCUCUCCUGAGGUCACUAAGAUUUUCAUUUUCAUUUUCAUAGUUUUAUAGUUUUGUUUUUCACAUCUUUUUUUUUCUAUUUGGCUAUUAUUGGGGUAUAGCAACACUGUGGAUUUUUGUACAGCAAUCUUGUACCAAAAACCUUGUUGAAUUCUGUUAUUCUAGUAUUUUGUCUGUGCCAGGAACAGUGGUACACACCUGUAAUCCCAGCUUCUUGAGAGGCUGAGGCAGGAGGAUUGCUUGAACCCAGGUGUUCAAGGCUAGCCUGGGCAAUAUAGCAAGAUUCUGUCUCUAAAAAAAAAAAUCAUAUUAUGGUAGAUGGAAACUAGUAUGUGAUAAAAUAAAAAUGACUUUAAAAAAAUUUGUCUAAAGUUCUUUAGGAUUUUUUAUUUAGCAGAACAUUAUGCAAACACCAACCUUUUAAAUUCUAUUUUAUUUAAUGUUUUAAUUUGUAAAAUAAACUUAGUAUGAAAAUUUUCAAA